rnacentral:lncRNA from 1 species
GAAAAAUUAGGAGAAAAUAUUUAGGAAUGGUAUCUAAGAAGUUAUCACUUUACUUUGAAACUGUGGAAUCCUGAAUCACCUCUCUUUUUUCUGUUUCCAAAGUGAUGUGAGCAUGGAGUUGCCCUUCCGUCUGAUGCACCCCAUGCAAGAAGAGACCAAUACAGCAGAUAUUUAUUGGAGCAUGUCUCUUUCUCUUUUUUUCAAUGUGAUUAACAGAAAAGGAAAGUGGCCAUGAUGACCUGGUGUUUGAGGAGUUUGCUCGGCAGCAACUGAAAGAUGAAGCUUCUGUAGAAGACAGCAAAACAGUAUCCAAAUACUGAAUGAUAGAGGGAAAAGGCAUGAAGUUAGCAGAGGUCAUAACUUUUGUAUUUGUAAAGAAACAGAAUAGUUAAAUUGAGUUGAUGUGUGGUUCUUGUCUUUUUACUAAAGCUUCUUGCCUCACUACAAAUAUAGAACGCCAGACUGGUUAUUUAGCAGUGAACCCAUCCAAUUAAGGUGACCCUACCACUUCUCCAAGGGUGUUCUACUAUUAAACUGUUCUUACUUUUUUUCUGAUGUUCACUUUGAAAAGGGCAAUCAAUUUCUCCUCUCAAUCCUUCUUUUUUCUUAAGGUUAAACAUAUGCAGCUUCUCCCAUUUAUGUUCAUAGGACCUAAUUUCUAGUUAUCUGAUCAUCUUUGUUGCUCUUCUCUGAGCAUGCUCCAGGAUCUCUGAACAUGACAUCAUACCCGACGUUGGUCUGAAAAAGCCUAAUAAAGUGGCACAAUUAAUUUUCUUGAUUUGGAUGUUAUUUUGUGUAGCUCAGCCAUUAAUUGUAUCUGCUUUUUUGCAAUAAAAUUAUAUAUAUUUCAGCUUAUAUACAGUUAGCAAUCUACUAUCAUCUUCACAAAUAUCACUUCCAAUUAAGAUAUCUCUCUGGUUAUAUCUUCCAAUUAUUAAGGAAUGUAUACAAUAAACAAAUGAGAUGAAAUCAAGCAAGAUUUG